GAUGAACGCUGGCGGCGUGCUUAACACAUGCAAGUCGAACGAUGAAGCCCAGCUUGCUGGGUGGAUUAGUGGCGAACGGGUGAGUAACACGUGAGUAACCUGCCCUUAACUCUGGGAUAAGCCUGGGAAACUGGGUCUAAUACCGGAUAGGAGCGUCCACCGCAUGGUGGGUGUUGGAAAGAUUUAUCGGUUUUGGAUGGACUCGCGGCCUAUCAGCUUGUUGGUGAGGUAAUGGCUCACCAAGGCGACGACGGGUUGCCGGCCUGAGAGGGUGACCGGCCACACUGGGACUGAGACACGGCCCAGACUCCUACGGGAGGCAGCAGUGGGGAAUAUUGCACAAUGGGCGCAAGCCUGAUGCAGCGACGCCGCGUGAGGGAUGACGGCCUUCGGGUUGUAAACCUCUUUCAGUAGGGAAGAAGCGAAAGUGACGGUACCUGCAGAAGAAGCACCGGCUAACUACGUG
rnacentral:rRNA from 1 species